AAAUAUGAAGUUACUACACGUGUUUGGCUGAUUUCAAUACUCUAGCUCUAGAAACACGAGAAUUUGGUGUAAAUAGUUCUGUUUACAGAAUUUGGUGUAAAUAGUUCUAUUUACCUACUGUAAACAGUGCAAUGACCCACAUAUCCCUCUCUCUUUUCUCCCAUCCUCUCUUCUCUCUCUCCUCUUUUCUCCCAUCCUCUUCCUCUGCUCGCGUGGGGGCGCCGGCCUGCGCGCGCUGGAGCGGCCCGGCAUCGCAGCAGCAGCGCGCGCGGCCUUAACUGUCGACGACCUCCUCUUCAAUCUCCUCCACGAACUCCUCUCCAAUCUGACAGGCAGCCUGCGCGCCGGCAUUAGUGUGGCUAUUAGCAUAAUUCUUCUCCGCCGGCAGCUCAAACUUUCGCAGCAGCACAGAUACACAAUCCAUCUCGCACGCAACAAGACAAUUCAGGGGCUCGCACGCACAAGACAUCGGAGAAAAGGAAUGACUGGAUGAAGAAGAAAGGGGCCACGGAUACGCUCCG
rnacentral:lncRNA from 1 species